CAUCCAGGCAUUAGUCCAUAUUCCUCCCUCUUACUUAAUCAGUCACCAAGUCUUACAGAUUAUCUUUCCUAAAAGUCUCAUAUCCAUCACCUUUUCUAUUCAUUCUGCCAGUUUCUUAGUUCAGGUUUGCAUCAUUUCUCACCUGGAUGACUAGGUCAGCCUCCCAACUUGUCUCAUUUCCUCCAGUAUGGCCCUUGAAAUGAUCCCCCACACUCUGCCAAAAUAAACUUCCUAAACUGCAAAUAUGAUCAUGUCAUUAUACUCCCCAGACUACCCAAAAGCCCCCGCCUUAGUUUCAGAACAGAGCUCAUAUCAUUGCCAUUUCUCCUUUAUAGCCCCCCCUCCCAUCUCCCUCCUGCAUAUGCAUGUGACCCUGCAGAAAUGGGGACUAUCUGCAGUUUCUUUCUUCAUCCUGAUAUUUGACUCCUCAGAACUUUCCCUUUACCAAGAAAGAAAAGUUUUUUUUUCAUCAAGCAAUUUCCUACUUAGUUUCAAAAGUGAAACAAUAUGAAAGCAAAAAUGAUGAAUCUAUCAAGCAGAAAAUGCAAUCUCAAAUAAAAUAUUACCUUCUCAGAAGUCCCACCCCGACUCCUGAGUAGGAUAAAAUGUUCUUUUCAUAGGAACCUCUGCUACCUCUUUAUAAAACUGACCACAGUUCUGUGAUCAUUGAUUUAGUUGAUACCAGACGAUUGUGGCCGUUCCUUUAGCUUUCAUUUCCUAGUGUUGAGUGUUUUGCAUAGUAGACACUCAAUAAAUAUUUUUGGUAUGUUAAAUGAGAAAUUUGGACUAAACAUCUGUACUUGACAUGCUCUUUGGGUUGGAAAUCACAGGAGCAUUCCAAAGCAAAUAGAGUGAUAAAGGGGCAUUGACUUUUGAGAAACCUCAGGUAUUACAGAACCCAAGGGCAAGAAUUAACUGCUCCUGUGAAGGUGACUCCCAAUGACUGAGCACUGAGUAGUAAACUCUCCUUCCUCAAUCUCUUUAAGGAUAUGUGCUCUCUUGUCUCUUGUCUCUGCUUCUCUUUGCUUACUGGCACCACUCUUCUCUACCCCUAAAGGCCAAAAUUUGAAACUGCCCUGGUUUAUAUGUGUUCUAGCCCAGUCCUAGUCUUAUAUAACAUUCUAAUUCAGGCACUUAUUAGACAUUACUUGUAGUUCUGAGUCUCUAACCCAAAGUCUCAAUUGAGAGAGACAAAUUACCCCAACUUGGGUAAGUAUCCAUCACUGGCCCUGAAUGAGCUGGAUCAGAUAGUUAAAAAUGGAGUCAGUGGCCAUUCCUAUGGGGAGGGGUAAGAAAGAAAGGGCAGUACUUAUAGAAGGUCAAUUGUGGUCUACUUUCAAAACAACCAACGGCUAACCCUCAUCCCAAUUCUCCAAUUUAUUGUAGAAACUUCAUAGGGUCCAUGAUCAGAAAGUCAUGCUUAUCAUUAUGCUUAAUGAUGUGCUUUCCUUGGGUCCACUUAGCAUUUUAUGAAGAGUUGAUCCAUGAGAUUCCUUCCCAGUUGUAAUAUCUGGUGAUGCUAAUUCUCCAGGAUUACAGAGCACAAAUUCCUAGGGACAAAACUGACUGGCAGAAGGCAGAGAAACAUCCAAUCAGAUUCAUUCUUAAUAAUUCAAUUUUAAAAAUGAAUAAAAUAAUGCAGUCCUAAGCAAAUUUGGCUUAUUAGUGUUGUUGUUAAUUAGUAAUCAUGAUAAGGACCUCAUUUAAAAUGUGAUUAUAUUUUGAUGGUUCUCCUGUAAACAUCUAUUACUGCGACUUGCACCCAUAAGACAAAGAAAGACACCUCUUGCUUAGGUACUGUGCUUUCACUUAGAAACAAACAAACAAAACAGACUUCUAAAGCAUGCAUUAUGGGUUGAAUAAAUUCACACGUUGAUGUGUUAACCCCCAUUAUUUCAGACUGUACCUUCCUUGGGAAUAAAGCCAUUGCAGACAUAACUAGGUAAGAUGAGGUCGAUCUGGAGUAGGGUGGGCCAUGAGACCAAUAUGACUGAUGUUCUUAUAAAAGGGGGAGCUUUAGACACAGCUACACACAGGGACGAUGCCACUUGAAGAUAACAGCAGAGAUUUGUAGAUAU
rnacentral:lncRNA from 10 species